GACAUAGGUCGCGAACGUUAUCCGGAAUUAUUGGGCGUAAAGGAUGCGUAGAUGGUUCAGUAAGUUACUGGUGGGAAAUCGAGGCCUAACCUCGUGGAAGUUAGUAAUACUGUUGAACUUGAGUGCAGGAGAGGUUAACGGAACUUCAUGUGGAGCGGUAAAAUGCGUAGAUAUCGGGAGGAACACCAAUGGCGAAGGCAGCUUGCUGGGACGGUACUGACGCUGAGACGCGAAAGCGUGGGGAGCAAACAGG
rnacentral:rRNA from 1 species